UCCCCCACAACUAUGAACAAAGAGACACCUUGUCAUUGGUGGUGUUCUUAUAUCAUUCAGGGGAAAAGCAGAUAUUCUGAUUUGUUUAUCCUAGCUUGAUGCCUGUGUUUGUGUCCAAAGCUGUUUUCUGCUUAGGACACAUAA